CGCAGCGGUAGGCGGCAUCUCGUGCCGCCGGCUGGCUUGCCGUUCCUCCUCUAAGCAACUUGGCAUGACCAUCAGCUUCCCCGCAUCCAGCAGCAGGCCAGGCCAGAGGCUUUAUUAACAUAGAAUAACAGUACCUCGCCACAGGCCAGCCAGCAUGGGUGCUGCUUCGAGUCGAAUUUGACUGCAAUGUUAAGCUGGCUAAAAAAUAACAACUGCCUUCUGUGAAGAUACAAGAAUAUCCAUGAUGAGCGUCAAUGGACCGCUGCAAGUUUGAGGACUGCUUGCCUAUUAACAUGUGGCCAAAAACACCUGAGCUCCAUGCCUUACUCCACAGCAGUUACCAGCCUUCAUGCAAUGUGCAGAAGUUUCAGCAGCAGAACCGCUAAAGAGAUACAGCCAAGAGACAUAUGGAAACUGUGAGUUUUCAUUCUUGUGGUUUUCAAUCUAUUUAUUUAUUUGGUUAACAGCCCCUCAUUAGUGCAGAAGGAUUGCUACAUUUCCUACCUUGCCAGGAGGGUCCACUUUCACUGCAGGAGGAUGUGCUCUCCAUAGAACGUGCUUUGGCAAGAAUGGUGCUGCUUACACUUGUUUUUUCUCUGUUAUUCAUACAGACUGUUAUGCACUUACUUAGCUGGGAUAACGGGCAAACAUUCUGCCUUUGGGAGCCACCUUCCAAAAUCAUGUGGCAGGAUACCACACCCUCCAGCCCUACUCCAUGCAGCUCUCCAAGCCAAGACUAUAAACCCACAGCUCCUUCCCCCUCGGCUCCCAACUACUUUCAUCUUGCUUCCUAAGCAGAUCUUCUCCCCUGUCCAUCAUUCAGCUUAUAUCCAGAUUCAGGAUCCCCAUCUCCCAGAUAACUGCAGUCUGACAUCACAGCCAGGACCACCACAGCCUCUGUUCCGUACUCUGAUCUCACAUGAACUCUCAUCAAAUCUUUGUGAUCAGUCCAGCUGGUACAGAGGAUCCCCAGCUACUGUUUGGCUGUUCUUCCUUAGCUCCAUUGGAACAGGACAGCAGUCUUUCCAUGGGAUAAAGAGCUGAAAAGGUUGCAGUCAUGUCCAACCCACUGUAGCUGUGGUAGGUUAUCAGAAGAGGGAACAGGUUCUUAUGAGGAAGAGGACCACAUGACAGCAGUGGGGCUGAAGUACUGGCCUUCCCAAUACUAGCUGCUGUGAUUCUUGUCUGUUUAAUAAAGAUGAUCCAAGCACAGUCUAGUUCA
rnacentral:lncRNA from 1 species